rnacentral:rRNA from 1 species
CAAACUGGGAUUAGAUACCCCACUAUGCCUGGCCCUAAAUCUAGACACCCGCACACCCGAGUGUCCGCCUGAGAACUACGAGCACAAACGCUUAAAACUCUAAGGACUUGGCGGUGCCCUAAACCCACCUAGAGGAGCCUGUUCU